UACAUGGGGUGCAAACGUUGCUCGGAAUUAUUGGGCGUAAAGCGCACGUAGGCGGUUCGUUAAGUCGGAUGUGAAAGCCCUCGGCUCAACUGAGGAAGUGCACCCGAAACUGGCGAGCUUGAGUACGAAAGAGGAUCGCGGAAUUCCCGGUGUAGAGGUGAAAUUCGUAGAUAUCAGGAGGAACACCGGUGGCGAAGGCGGGUCUCUGGGCAUUAACUGACGCUGAGGAGCGAAAGCAUGGGGAGCGAACAGG
rnacentral:rRNA from 1 species